GGGGCCACAUCAUCCUAACCGCAUAUUUUUCAAUCCAAGGAAUAAAAAAUUAAUAGCAUCAAUGGCUUGGUACUAUUAAGGGCCCGUUUGGUUCGAGUUAUGUAAUAUUACAAAGUAUCUCGACAUAUCCAGGUAUUUUAGAUUUCGGCGUGAGAUUACUACUGAUGCUGUAUUAGCGCGUUUGGUUUAAUGCAGUAAUGUAAUACUAGAUUACAGUGUUUAUAGCAUUAAUACUUUUGGUUCAGUUUAUAAAAUUUAGUAAUCCUGACAUAAAAGUAUAGUUUUUCCAAAAUUGCCCUUGUUGUGGUCAUUUGAAUAUUAUUUUUUGCGAAAAUGACGAAUGGAGGGAAAGAGAUCGUGAUGAUUACCUGGGAGGACGACGCAAUAGAAAAUGAUAGGUGUUCGUGCGAGAGAGAGAAAGAGAGAGAGAUAGAGAGACAUCGAGAGGGAGAGAAAGCGGCGUGCGAAAGAGAGGGGGAAGGCGAGAGAGAGAUGAAAAUAAUAUUGUUAAUUAGAUUUGGGGUUGUUGGAGGGUAAAAUUGCCAUUUUAAAUAAUAUAUAGUAUUAACGGGUUUCAGUAAUGCAAGAUACACGACCCCCCUCCCGUUAAUAUUUUCGAUGUAAUCCUGCUCGAUUUGUAAUGCUACAUUAACGACUAGAUUACAUAGCGGAUUAACCAAACACAGUUAUCCUGGCAGGAUUGCCUGUAAUCCUGCCAGGAUAACUCGAACC
rnacentral:lncRNA from 1 species